UACGAAGGGGGCUAGCGUUGUUCGGAAUCACUGGGCGUAAAGGGCGCGUAGGCGGCCGAUCAAGUCGGGGGUGAAAGCCUGUGGCUCAACCACAGAAUUGCCUUCGAUACUGUUUGGCUUGAGACCGGAAGAGGUUAGUGGAACUGCGAGUGUAGAGGUGAAAUUCGUAGAUAUUCGCAAGAACACCAGUGGCGAAGGCGGCUGACUGGUCCGGUUCUGACGCUGAGGCGCGAAAGCGUGGGGAGUAAACAGG
rnacentral:rRNA from 1 species